AUUGAACGCUGGCGGCAGGCCUAACACAUGCAAGUCGAACGAGUGGCGGACGUGUGAGUAAUGUCUGGGACACUGCCUGAUGGAGGGGGAUAACUACUGGAAACGGUAGCUAAUCCCGCAUACCCUCGUAUGUGCCCAGAUGGGAUUAGCUAGUAGGUGGGGUAAGGGCUCACCUAGGCGACGAUCCCUAGCUGGUCUGAGAGGAUGAUCAGCCACACUGGAACUGAGACACGGCCCAGACUCCUACGGGAGGCAGCAGUGGGGAAUAUUGCACAAUGGGCGCAAGCCUGAUGCAGCCAUGCCGCGUGUAUGAAGAAGGCCUUCGGGUUGUAAAGUACUUUCAGCGGGGAGGCGUUACCGGCAGAAGAAGCACCGGCUAACUCCGUGCCAGCAGCCGCGGUAAUAC
rnacentral:rRNA from 1 species